rnacentral:rRNA from 1 species
UACGAACCGUACGAACGUUAUUCGGAAUCACUGGGCUUAAAGAGUGCGUAGGCGGCCUGUUAAGUUGGGUGUGAAAUCCCUCGGCUCAACCGAGGAAUGGCGCCCAAAACUAGCAGGCUUGAGGAAGAUAGAGGUGAGCGGAACUAAUGGUGGAGCGGUGAAAUGCGUUGAUAUCAUUAGGAACACCUGAGGCGAAAGCAGCUCACUGGGUCUUUUCUGACGCUGAGGCACGAAAGCUAGGGGAGCGAACGGG